rnacentral:rRNA from 1 species
UACGGGGGAGCAAGCGUUGUUCGGAUUUACUGGGCGUAAAGGGCGCGUAGGCGGCCAGCACAAGUCAGUUGUGAAAUCUCCGAGCUUAACUCGGAAAGGUCAACUGAUACUGUGCGGCUAGAGUGCGGAAGGGGCAACUGGAAUUCUUGGUGUAGCGGUGAAAUGCGUAGAUAUCAAGAGGAACACCUGCGGCGAAGGCGG